rnacentral:lncRNA from 1 species
CGAAACAGCCAUUGGACCCCAUUGCUAAUCCCUGUGCAGUCUAUAGUUACACCUGGAGUGUCAACUUUUAUAGGUGGAGGCAUCUUUCCUUCCAAAUUCCCUGGCUUUCUAAGAAGUUCACCCACAAUUCUGCAUGUGGGAGAGCAGCUUUGGUGUGAGUUUCUCAUUGCUCUUGGCUCCACUUCACAUUUGACUUCUUUCAGGUAAUGACUCCCCUGAGUUAUCUAUUUGAGUAGGGAGGGAGGGCCAGGAUUGCAACCAUAUCCCAUAUCUUUCAUUCAGUCUCUAGAGAUUAAAGGGCUAUGUAAAUA